UACGUAGGGUGCAAGCGUUGUCCGGAAUUAUUGGGCGUAAAGAGCUCGUAGGCGGUUUGUCGCGUCUGCUGUGAAAACGCGAGGCUCAACCUCGCGCCUGCAGUGGGUACGGGCAGACUAGAGUGCGGUAGGGGAGAUUGGAAUUCCUGGUGUAGCGGUGGAAUGCGCAGAUAUCAGGAGGAACACCGGUGGCGAAGGCGGGUCUCUGGGCCAUAACUGACGCUGAGGAGCGAAAGCGUGGGGAGCGAACAGG
rnacentral:rRNA from 1 species